AUUUUUUUGUUUCUUUUUCAAAAAUAAAUGAAUGUAUGUACAGUAAAUGUGUCUAUGUACAGAGAUCAGCACAGUGCAAAUGGUUGGUGCAGGAAUACACAGGUGGUUGACAGUCUUCAUGGUGGUUGUUUUCCAUUAGACGCCCUUUUCUGGUCACAACAGUUCACAAAUCUUGCUGCUGUUUGGCCUCUCUCCAUGGUAGGCUGUGCUCACCGAGUCUGUACAUGUUCAGGACUUUCCUUAUCUUGGAUCGGUCACAGAGUGUUCUCUGUUUAGGGCCAAAUAACAUUCCAGUUUAUUCUGGUUUUUGGUUGAUUCUCUCCAUUCUGUGAGAUAGUUUUCUUUUUCUUUUGUUAUACUUUGGUUUAGUCUAAUGUUGUUUCUGUGUGGGGACUCUGCUUGUGUUUGUGAGCCGACUGGCUGAGGGGGCUUCUCUCAGGGUCUCUCUGUAGGUGAGGACCUUUUUAUGAGUCACUUUCUUUUAGGUGUUUCUAAAAUUCAAAUGCUCUCUUUUGAAUUUUCAUGGUUAGUGGGUAUAUUUGAAACUUUUCAUUGGACGUGAAAAUGGAUUUGCAGAAUUCUGCAUGCGUUCUUUCUUAUAAAAUCUUUUUUGGGGAGUGGACCCCAGACCUGCAACCAUAAAGGGAAAUAAGUUAUAUAACAGAGUCCAAUACUUUAAGCCAGAUACUUGAUGUUCCUUCUGAUGGUGUAAAAAGCUCUUCUUGCCUUGUCUCUCAGGUAAUUUGUUGGCAAUAAUCAAUAAUUAUUCUUAAAGAUGAUCAUCAGCACAUUGAAAAGUGUUUGUCCAGUUAUAAUGUAAGUAAAUCACAUGUGAUAAUAUUAAAGCUAAAGAUGUUUUACAGUUAAUUAAUUGAUCUGACUGAUUAGUUCAUGUUAAUGUUUGUCAGUGAUUCAUGAACUCCAGCUUUCAAACAUUCAAACAUCAGCUGAGUGUUUGUGUUCCUACGAGGAAGUUUCAUGUUUUAAUCACACGUCAGCAUCUGAUUGAGACUCAGUCCAACCAGUCAGACUGCAUACUUUGGUAGUGAAGAGAUGAAGGUGUGUCAGCCUGCACACACACACACACUGAUGAAGGACAAGAAGCUGCGUCAGUUAAAUGAAUGUGAUGAAAAUGCAGAUUUAACUGAAGCACAAACCUGCUUUUCUACACAGACCUGCUCAAGACAGAGCAAACAGAGCUGCAGAGUGACGAAGUUCAUGAGAAAAAGUUCAGUGGAGCUCUGACUCGUUCCAGGAAACAGCUCACCUGUGACAAACACUUUUCUUUUCUCUUCAGACGUGGAGUGGAGAGUCUUUGUCUUCAGCAGUUUGGAUGUUAACUGUGAAGGUAGAAAGUGUGUGUGACUGAUGUGGAUGUGACUUCAGCAGCAUGGAUCAGUGUGAGGACAGAGAGGAGGGAGUCCCUCCCUCUAAAAGCUCUCUGUGUGGGGAACAUGACAGCCAGACC